GUUUAUGCAUCUUAAGGAAAAAGAGAAGCUCUUCUACUUAAAUAAUAUAUAUCCUUACCAGAAAGUUAUACGCACCUCUCACAUACACAAACACACCAUCCUAAUUGUACUCAGUACUUCCAAGCACUUUGCUAGGUCCAAGCCUCUACUCUCAAGUUACAUCUCAUCGCACAGCAAUUAAAAUGUAAUCUGGGAAAUUUCAAAUGAAAGAAAACUGCA
rnacentral:misc_RNA from 1 species